rnacentral:misc_RNA from 1 species
UUUUUUUUUUUUUUUUUUUUUUUUUUUUUUUUUUUUUUAUGAUAAGCAAUAUAUUUUAAAAAAACCAUCAGAUCAGACAAUGCAGAUUACAUGCAAAUAUGUACAUUCAAACACUGUAUUUAACGAUUACAUUAUUUAGACGAAAACUCAGUAACUUAAAUAAAUACGGCAGUUCUUUUAUUAUAAAAAAGGAACUUAAUUUUAUAUGCAAAGAAAUCUAAGUAAGUAGGUAUGAUAUUUGCUUAUUAAUGGCUAAAAGUUUAAAAUACAAUCACUAUAAGUCAUUUGUGUUCAGUUUCACUGAAUAUUUAAAAUUUAAUAUGGUCCAUUUACACAGUCAUUUUAAUAUCACAUAAAAUCAUGCAUUAUUUAACAAAAAAAAAAUACUUUACCAUACGUAAUACAGUAAUCGGGACGAGCCCAUGUUCAAUAGGUAGCUAAUAUUAAUAUUAUAUCUAACAUAUAAGUAUUAAAUAACUAUAUUGUAAAAGUUUAACGCAGGUAUACAUCUUGAAGUUAAAAUGUAGAGCAGAGAAUAGUAAACUCAGUUCUGAAACCAACAUACAUGUAUUUAGUAAUAAGUUAAAAAAAUUGCAAAUUUUAGUAAAAUACUUUCAAUUUGCUCGCGUCUUUGAUAUUUCUAUUAAUACGGCGUCCACACUUAAAAAAUUAAAUAAUAAGGUACUUCUUUUCAUUUAAAAUAAAUAACUCCGUAACUUAUAGUUAUAGUUAACAAAUCACAGAUACCCAUCGCGAACUGCCAGAACUACUGGGCAAACGGUAUUAGCUUUUCGUAAUAGCCUAAUAGACGUUACCGGUAUUCCAACUUAAGCUAAUCGCAGUCUUAAACAUUCAUCAUACAGCCCCGUUACAACCUCUCUCCUAACAACCCUUUAAUACUCGAAGGUGAACAUAAUACUAAACAAACAUGCAACCGUCAAAGCGAAUCUAAUGGAUGACGACUAUAUUGCUAUUGCAUUGGGAUGUUCAAACGUUAAGGUUCCAGUCCCAUCCUCGGUUAACACAUUCAAACGUACUCAACUGGUAUGCUCUACCGCGUACAUAUCACAGAUGGUGUUCAGGAAGAAAACACAAGCUUUCACUUCAAUGUCACACACGCUGCAGCUAUUAACCUCGGAUGUUCACCUUAGGACGAAUUGCAGUAGAAUGAAGAAUCUGUGAAAACACACCCUGAAUAUAAGGAAAAUAAUGGCGCUACUGUAGCAGCGGCCACUAGGGAAAACAUUCGACACUAAAAACAUUUAUGAUUUCAAUUAUAUUUGUCACUGCUAUAAUAUAUAUACAAGUAACAAUUUUUUUCAAAUAUUUCCG